rnacentral:misc_RNA from 1 species
GAUGAAGAACGUAGCGAAAUGCGAUACUUGGUGUGAAUUGCAGAAUCCCGUGAACCAUCGAGUCUUUGAACGCAAGUUGCGCCUCAAGCCAUUAGGUUGAGGGCACGUCUGCCUGGGCGUCACAUAUCGUUGCCUGAUGCCAGUUUCCUCGUGAUGGGUGACUGUGCAGGGCGAAUGAUGGCUUCCCGUGCGCAUUGUUGCCUCAUGGUUGGUUGAAAAUUGAGUCCUUGGUAGGGAGCGCCGUGAUAGAUGGUGGUUGAGUGACGAACGAGACCCAAUCAUGUGAGACCCCUACCGAAUUUGGCCUUCAUGACCCACAUGCGUCUUUGGAACGCUCAUGACGAGACCUCAGGUCAGGCGGGGCUACCCGCUGAGUUUAAGCAUAUCAAUAAGCGGAGGA